rnacentral:rRNA from 1 species
CCUACGGGUGGCAGCAGUGGGGAAUAUUGCACAAUGGGGGAAACCCUGAUGCAGCGACGCCGCGUGAGCGAUGAAGUAUUUCGGUAUGUAAAGCUCUAUCAGCAGGGAAGAAAAUGACGGUACCUGACUACGACGCCCCGGCUAACUACGUGCCAGCCGCCGCGGUAAUACGUAGGGGGCAAGCGUUAUCCGGAUUUACUGGGUUUAAAGGGUGCGUAGGCGGGGCGACAAGUCGGCGGUCAAAUGUCGGGGCUCAACCCCGGCCUGCCGUCGAAACUGCCGUCCUUGAGUGGGCGAAAGGCGCGCGGAAUGCGUGGUGUAGCGGUGAAAUGCAUAGAUAUCACGCAGAACCCCGAUUGCGAAGGCAGCGCGCCGGCGCCCGACUGACGCUGAGGCACGAAAGCGUGGGUAUCGAACAGGAUUAGAUACCCUUGUAGUC